rnacentral:ncRNA from 1 species
ACCAAGGAGUCUAACAUGUGCGCGAGCCGCGGGGCAGUACGAAACCCGUAAGGCGAAAUGAAGGUGAACGCCGGCGCGGUCCGGCGGAGGUUGGAUCCCGUCCCGUCGGGGCGGGCGCACUACCGGCCGAUCUUCUCCGCCCUGUCGGCGAGGUCGAGCGAGAGCGUGCAAGUCGGGACCCGAAAGAUGGUGAACUAUGCCUGAGGAGGUUGAAGCCAGAGGAAACUCUGGUGGAGGACCGUAGCGAUUCUGACGUGCAAAUCGAUCGUCAAAUUUGGGUAUAGGGGCGAAAGACUAAUCGAACCGUCUAGUAGCUGGUUCCCUUCGAAGUUUCCCUCAGGAUAGCUGGCGCUCUGUCGCAGUUUUAUCUGGUAAAGCGAAUGAUUAGAGGGUCUUGGGGGCGAAACGCCCUCAACCUAUUCU